CCCUUAGAUGUUCUGGGCCGCACGCGCGCUACACUGAUGCAUUCAACGAGUCUAAAACCUGCUCUGAUAGGGGUGGGUAAUCUUUUGAAUGUGCAUCGUGAUUGGGAUAGAUGAUUGCAAUUUUUCAUCUUCAACGAGGAAUGCCUAGUAAACGCAAGUCAUCAGCUUGCAUUGAUUACGUCCCUGCCCUUUGUACACACCGCCUGUCGCUCCUACCGAUUGAAUGAUCCGAUGAAUAUCAUGGAUUGAGGAUGCAAGUAGGUUCGCCUAUCUUCAUCUUCGAGAAGUGAAGUAAAUCUUAUCAUUUAGAGGAAGGAGAAGUCGUAACA
rnacentral:rRNA from 1 species